UAUAAGGGAUUCUGAGUUUUUGUUUGCACUGUUUGACCACUCGUCUUAUUCAAAAAAUUUUAGAAUUAUUAUUUAUUUUUUUUGACUUACUUUAUUAUUCAAAGUACUUUAACACAACUUGUCGUUUUUUAUAUUUGCAUAAAUUUUUUAAAUAAGACGAGUGGUCAAAGAGUGCAAGCAAAAACUCAAAAUCCCUUAUA
rfam:Oryza glaberrima chromosome 4 Oglab04_0291_8, whole genome shotgun sequence.